CUUGAGUCUUGUUAUCUGCUUGCUAUUAAUUUUCCACUACAUGUCUGUGAUUAGGAUCAUUCAAUUACAAUGCUAAGAAAAGAUAUAAAACAAAUAGAGAACAUUAAAAGUUCAAGGUGAUAAUAUUGUGAAAAUAUGAAAACAAUAAUUUUGUUACAGGAAUUUCUUACACUUCGUAACUUUGUGACAGUAUAUUUCUUCCUCCUGCUUCACAUGUAUAAAGGUGUUGGCAGUGAUUGUAAGAAAAUGUAUUAUGCAAUUCAAAGCAAUGUAAUUGACUGAUAGUUUGAUUCAAUCUUCAACCUUCAAUCUUGCUAUCUUGAUUACAAUACCAUUAGACUUGCAUAUCUUGAUUCCUGCAAAAAAAAACAUACCCAGUUCUACAAACAGUGCAGUUUAAGGUCUAGCUAGAACACAAGUUUAGGAAAACAGGCAUGUGAUUAGACCCAAAACUGAUUUUUAGCUCACAAUUCAUAUCAGCUACAAUCUGUAAAGUUUGCCAUCAGGAAGUUUUGUUUGUUACAAAUAAAUACCAAAUGCUUCAGAAAUUAAAUAGUGCCCAAAAAAUGCAAGAACAAUGUUUCUAGAAUGCUAUUUUUUAAAAAAAUAAAAAGUUAAAAAGAAGAUACAAAGCUUACCAAAUGUGCAGGUGUUCUCAAUCCUUAGCCUCAACACAACUUAAUCUUUAAGCUAUUGUCUACUUCAUCAUGAAUGUUUUCCUAACAUGCCCUAUGCAGCUUCACCAUUUUCCUCCAUUGUGCAGUGAGUCACAUAUGGAAAGCAGAGCUCAAAAUCAUCAAAAAAUAUAGACAAAGUCAAUGCAUUAUAAGAAGUUUAAAGCUAUAACAACGGCCGAACUCGGAUAGCUCUCCUUGUAUGCACAGGACUAAAUUGACUUGCAAGGGUUGAAGAAGGUGUUUUAUAGAAGGAUUUGGUGGGCCGAACAAUUACCAUAAGAUGCAACCUAUCAAGACACCGAUAAACGAAACGACAUGGUGAUUAAUACGCAUGCCUGCAUUUUGAAAUUCGAAAUCGAUUAGGGUUUAUGUAAUGUAUGUGAUGUAUGUAAUAUCAAUAUGGUAUUUAUGUAGUUUGAGUCUGAUGGAUUGCCUUGAUAUAUGAGAACUGUAAUUUAUUUA